ACACAGAGCCUGCGCUUGCUGGGAACUGGUGUGAUUUUGGGGCGCAUUGCUGAGGGCAGGUAUUUCCAUGUACACACAAAGAGCUUUUGCUAAGAGAGGGCUAGAACAAUGCUCAAAGAUAAAGAAGAAAGCCGGGUCUGAGAGAGGAGUAAAGGAAGAUAAGAGGAUUCAUUUAAUGCAGUGGAGCUGAGCUAAAACCUGGAUCAAAGCCUUGAAAUGAUACCAUGAAGUUGGUGUGAGCCUGGCAGAACUGGCCCAAGAAGGUUACUUCGAUUUCAAAGCCUGUCAGUGUACAUGGGCAGUCUCAGGUGUGUCUGUAUUUACCACCUUGGUAUGUAACGUAAUUCUUUAGGAGUGCCUUGCAACCUACCUGUUCUAUCUUCACUAACCUAACCACUGCCAUCAGCUAAUUUUGCCAACUCAACUUCUUUAGGUUGUUAAUAACUGUAACUAAUUAAGAGCAACUAAUCCAGGUAGCAGUUAAUUUAUCUGUCUGACCUUAUACUGAGGUUUGAUGUUAUAUUGUUCCUGUAGGCUUACUAUCUGUGAAAGUUUUUUUUCCUUGAGAGUGUAGGCUCUGAGGAGAGCUGAAGGAUGGAGGUGAAGAGUCUUUGCUUACACAGUACAUAAACCAAGUCUUAAUACGACAUGAGGGUAUUUAGGUACUUCAAAGCCUGAAUGCUAUAAACCCACACAUCGGUCUGAAUAGCUUCUCAGACACACAAAUGUGGAAAAUUAAAUUGUCUUCCUGUAGGAAAUAUUAAUAAUUUGUUUUCAACCCACACUGAUGAAAUUUUGACAUCUCAAUUAUUUUCACAUAAAAGAAAGUGGAAAGCAAUCUCAAUUUGGAAAUAUUGGACUGCAAAUUGUUUACUCUCUUGAUCAAAGAGAAGAUUUUUAAUCUCUAAAGGCUGAUGUGUUUGAUAUUCAGAAAUAUCUACAGUAAUUCUGAAAACUGGAAAUAUCAGUGUUGGGUUUUGGGUUUUUUUUAGAUUAAAAAAGAGGUUUGUUUGAAGUAUUCUACUUGAAAUAUCCUAUAACUAUUAUUACAGGAAAAACACCGGGGGUGGUGGUGGUGGUGGGUUUUUUUUGUUUGGUGGUGGUGGUUGUUGUUGUUGUUAUUGUUGUUGUUGUUAUUAUUAUUACUUGUUUCUUUGAUAGUCUAAAUUUUUAAGGAAAAGAUUAAGUAAUUUUUUUUUUUUUUAGAAUUCUCUCUUCUCUCCUACUCUCUAUUUAUUUUCUAACAGAAAAAUAAAAAAGAAGGAUCGUCUUUGAGAGGACUCUCACUUGGCUUGCUGAAGGUAUAGAGAACAUCCAUGCAAGCACAUCCAUGCAAGCGCUCUUCCUGCAUUGUGCCAGGGAAGGGGCAUUUUGAAGAGAUGUGCAUUUUAGAAAGACACCACAUCUUUCUAUAUGAACUCAGAAAUUCACUUGUUUUUAUUUAAUAAUCUUGGGCCAGUGAUUAUUGCUGACACCCUGGUUAACAUAUUUUCUUAAUUGUGUCCAGUUUUCAUUUUCAUUAAAAUACUUUUGAUAAAU